rnacentral:sRNA from 2 species
CAAAGCUCCAAUUCUGCUGCAAAACGCGUUGGUGGCCACAAGUCUCAAUCCUCCUCGACCUAUGGGCGGUAUCUAUUUCUGGUCAAGCCUUUAGCUGCAGAUAUUAAAGCCAGACACCCAAACCUGCAAAUUUCGAUCACAAGUAAUAUAGCCAAUAUAUUCGGGUUCAAAAACCACUCCCAAGCUCUGAUAUCUCUCAAGAAUCGGCAAAAAUCCACUGCUUCUCACGUGGAACUCACUUUUCGAGACCAGUUUCUGGUCCGAUCCGAUAUGUGGAGGUUAGCCAUAUCAGAACUCGCAGAUAAGCCUGUCUAUAAGGGACAGAAGAUCACAUUCAUGGGGACC